AUUUUAGCAUUGGGCGCACAUGUCCUCGUGACUAUGAUUUUAAUCGAGAUUUGUUCUAAGUGUUACGUCUGUUUGUCUGUGUUCCUACCCUAUAAAUCUACGUAGUAAGUGUAGACCAAUCUAACUAUACUUUUUUCUUAUUUCAUUCGAUUGAAAAUUGUUUAUUAUUUGUUCAUUUUAGUUUGUACACAUUCUCACACACAUAUUCAGUCUACCACCGAAUGGAGAACAAAGUGCGCUGUACACUAACAUAGGUGGAAUAUACAGACAACCACACAGAAAAGCCGAGAAAAGCUAGAAACGAGGUAAUACACAUGAUGAAGCAUCGUGGAUAACAGAAGUAAUAUGUACUAUUGAAUUUAGUUCUCCCUUCUAAAGCACACUUAUUGAAAAUUGUAAGAAAUUAUAUAAAACAAAUAAGAAACAAAAAAGGAAAACCAACAAUAACACACUUGUAUCAAAACACCCACACAUAAACGUUUAGGCGAAAAUAAAAGAAAUGAAAGUUAUAGGGUCAAACAAUAAAGGAGAUGCAUUUUUUUAUAAA